rnacentral:rRNA from 1 species
CAGUAGCCGCGGGAAUACGUAGGGUGCAAGCGUUAAUCGGAAUUACUGGGCGUAAAGGGCGCGUAGGCGGAUUGUUUAGUUAGGCGUGAAAUUCCUGGGCUUAACCUGGGGACUGCGCUUAAUACAGGCAGUCUAGAGUGAGGAAGAGGGUUGUGGAAUUCCCAGUGUAGAGGUGAAAUUCGUAGAUAUUGGGAAGAACACCGGUGGCGAAGGCGGCAACCUGGUCCUUGACUGACGCUGAGGCGCGAAAGCGUGGGGAGCAAGCAGGAUUAGAUACCCCUGUAGUCCCUGUCUCUUAUAC